CUAGUACACCUGUCGCCGAAACAACCAUCCCUCGCGUCGCCGCCCAUCAUGCCACAGGUGCUUGGAGGGAGGCUUAAUCACCUAGGAUCACUUGGAAGAGGGGACAAGUAAGGCUCUCUGGCCCAACCCCUCCUGACCCCAUCAGGAUACACCUACCAAAGUACGCCUUGAGUAAUCUACUGCCUAUUCUGGCGAACUACCAUGGGGGUAGUCACUACAUCUCAAGAAAAGAAGAGGAAAUUAGGUGUCGCCAAGCACCAAGGAAUGUCUCAUGAAGAUGUUGAGGGGAUCGAUUUUAUUAGUCACCUCCCAGAUGACAUCAUUGGCACUGUCAUAUCGUUUCUUCCCACAGAUGAUGCCAUCCGCACGAGCACACUCUCCUUAGAGUGGUACAACAAAUGGCGCUCUGCCCCUCUCAAUUAACGUUGACGAUCGGAACAUCUCCGGGGCCACCCCUGACAUCCAGAUCGGUAUCAUCAGUCACAUCCUGUCAGAACACAUGGGUCCUAUUCGCCGCCUUGCCAUCUCAAACAGUAACUUAGCCAACUUCUAUGCCACAUUCGAUGGUUGGCUUCAGUCCCCUAAACUCAACAAACUCCAGGAGCUCGAGUUCAACUUUGGCUAUGGCUUCCAUGGCCCUCCACUCCCACCCACCACCCACCGUUUUUUCUCCACUCUCCGGGUUGCAAUCAUGGCAGGCUGCCAUAUCCAUGAUGACAUUAUUCACGCGUUCCAUCUUCCCAUGCUCGAACAGCUUACCUUGAUAGGGUUACCAUCUCAGAGGAAACUAUUCAGUCUGUGCUUGCCGGUUGUCCUGCCCUUCAUAACUUGCUGCUGAGCCAGAUCGCCGGUUGCCGUCAUAUUCAGAUUAUAUCUGGGAUCCUAAAAAUUAUUGG